rnacentral:rRNA from 1 species
AGUGAACGCUGGCGGUAGGCCUAACACAUGCAAGUCGAGCGGCAGCACAGUAAGAGCUUGCCCUUACGGGUGGCGAGUGGCGGACGGGUGAGGAAUACAUCGGAAUCUACUUUUUCGUGGGGGAUAACGUAGGGAAACUUACGCUAAUACCGCAUACGACCUACGGGUGAAAGCAGGGGAUCUUCGGACCUUGCGCGAUUGAAUGAGCCGAUGUCGGAUUAGCUAGUUGGCGGGGUAAAGGCCCACCAAGGCGACGAUCCGUAGCUGGUCUGAGAGGAUGAUCAGCCACACUGGAACUGAGACACGGUCCAGACUCCUACGGGAGGCAGCAGUGGGGAAUAUUGGACAAAGGGCGCAAGCCUGAUCCAGCCAUACCGCGUGGGUGAAGAAGGCCUUCGGGUUGUAAAGCCCUUUUGUUGGGAAAGAAAAGCAGCAGGUUAAUACCCCGCUGUUCUGACGGUACCCAAAGAAUAAGCACCGGCUAACUUCGUG